CUUAACAGUUUAACUUUUAUACUAGAUUCAUGUCUAAAUAACAUUGUAUAGGUAAUUGCAGUGCUGUUCAUAUUUGAAAACCUAUAAAAAGCCCAUUAACAGGAGAAGAUUUUCAUUUUAAAGAAUAUUUAAGAAACCAGUGAAAAAAUGGAAACCACAGAGACUGUUGCUGCCAGAAAAUCAUUCAUUGUGGUGAUUAACCUGAUUGGAUGGAUGGUGUUAAUAUCAGCUAUUGGAUUAGGAGUCAUCCAUUUGUAUGAGUGUCCUGCACAACCAAACCUUCCCAUCUAUCUGACUGUGACUGGUG